ncrna:unclassified sequences DTF805b RNA
UCAGAGGAUUCCGAAAAUCUGUAAAAGAGUAGGAC